GCUGCGGUGGCCGAGUGGUCUAAGGCGGUAGAUUUAAGUCCUCGAUGUUAAAACUCUACUCUCGAGAGAGGCGCGCGUUCGAACCGCGUCCGCAGCA
rnacentral:tRNA from 1 species